AUGAUAUGCUUCUUCGCAGUCGAGUGGCACUUUGUAGACCGUGUGGCAAGACAAUUUGGAAGAAGACAAGGUAUUCCAAUUGAGGAGAGCAACGAGGAAACGCUAUCUCUGCAUCGGUUCGAUCGAAGGAACAAUUAGGAUAUAUCGGAUUGGGCAAACAAACACCAUGCGUGGAUAGAAAUUUGGAAUCAAAGAGACACGUUAGUGCAAUCAGAGAAUAGACCUCAUAAUCAGUCAGCAUAUCAGAAGUAUCAAGUGUGGUAUGCAGAUCGUUACCGGUUAAAGCUAAAGCCUGGUUGGACUCGCGAGGAGUGGUCGGAGUUGGUGCCUGAAGAGCCGGAGACCGCAGAAGGUUAUCAUACCUUCAACACGGCUGUGAGAGACACCAGAGGGGCUCACGUUGACUAUGCACCGAUCCAUGACGAAAUGGUAGUCUGUUUGACCUAUUCUAACAUACUUGCAUCAUGUUGUCUUCUUUCAAAUACAUAA
rnacentral:rRNA from 1 species